rnacentral:rRNA from 1 species
GACGAACGCUGGCGGCGUGCUUAACACAUGCAAGUCGAACGGAAAGGCCCUGCUUGCAGGGUGCUCGAGUGGCGAACGGGUGAGUAACACGUGGGUGAUCUGCCCCUUACUUUGGGAUAAGCCUGGGAAACUGGGUCUAAUACUGGAUAGGACCAUGCUGUAGGUGGUGUGGUGGAAAGAUUAGUUUCGGUAAGGGAUGAGCUCGCGGCCUAUCAGCUUGUUGGUGGGGUAAUGGCCUACCAAGGCGUCGACGGGUAGCCGGCCUGAGAGGGUGGACGGCCACAUUGGGACUGAGACACGGCCCAGACUCCUACGGGAGGCAGCAGUGGGGAAUAUUGCACAAUGGGCGCAAGCCGGAUGCAGCGACGCCGCGUGGGGGAUGACGGCCUUCGGGUUGUAAACUCCUUUCAGCCAUGACGAAGCCCUUGUGGUGACGGUAGUGGUAGAAGAAGCACCGGCUAACUACGUG